GUAUAUGUCACACCCAGGGGCUGGCUAUGCUUUGACUAAGCCACACCCCUUCUCAACUUCCACCUCGAGGAGGUCCCCAAAGCCAACCCAAUGGCCAAACAACACGAGAACAAGUAAGUGAUAAAACAAUCUUUAUUUAAAUAUUUAAAAAUAGCUUGGGGAAUAGGGAAAGGGCAAUUAAAAACUAAACUCUGACUCGGCCCUCCAGAUGGGCUAUGGCCGGGAAGAGGUCAGGGAGCAAGGGGGCCACGGGGAUCCGGGGCGUGGGACUCGGGCCCCGGCCUGAGUCUUAGGUAUCCGUAGCGCCCUCCUUCUUCCUCCUCUUCGCUGAAUACAGCUCACGGUAAGUACUGGUUCACACAGUUCGUUCUCUGGGUGCUCACUCUCUUUCUCUUUCUCCACAGGCAACGGCUGGGACACACAGGCACAGUUAGUUCAGCUUGGUUUUGCUCUCACCUCUUCGCUGAUUACAGCUCACAGUAAGUACUGGUUCACACAGUUCGUUCCUUGGGUGCUCACUCGCUUUCUCUUUCUCCACAGGCAGCGGCGUAAGUACAGGUUUCCUCGGUCUCUCCUCGUGUUACCCACUCUCUCUCCUUUUUCUCUCCACAGGCAUCAACUUGGGCACACUAGCACAGUUAGUUUGCUUUGAAUGGCUCUCACCUCUGGGCUGAACACAGCGUACUGUAAGUACAGGUUUCCUCUGUUUCUCCUUGUGUUACUCACUCUCUCUUUCCUUUUCUCUCCACAGGCAGCGGCGUAAGUACAGGUUUCCUCGAUCUCUCCUCGUGUUACCCACUCUCUCUCCUUUUUCUCUCCACAGGUAUCAACUUGGGCACAAUAGCACAGUUAGUUUGCUUUGAAUGGCUCUCACCUCUGGGCUGGACACAGCGUACUGUAAGUACAGGGUUCGCUCUAUUCCUCCUCGUGUUAUUCACUCUCUCUCCUUUUCUCUCCACAGGCAUCAACUUGGGCACACUAGCACAGUUAGUUUGCUUUGAAUGGCUCUCACCUCUGGGCUGAACACAGCGUACUGUAAGUACAGGUUUCCUCUGUUUCUCCUUGUGUUACUCACUCUCUCUUUCCUUUUCUCUCCACAGGCAGCGGCGUAAGUACAGGUUUCCUCGAUCUCUCCUCGUGUUACCCACUCUCUCUCCUUUUCUCUCCACAGGUAUCAACUUGGGCACAAUA
ensembl:lncRNA